rnacentral:rRNA from 1 species
CUGGGACUGAGACACGGCCCAGACUCCUUCGGGAGGCAGCAGUGGGGAUAAUUGCACAAUGGGCGGAAGCCUGAUGCAGCGACGCCGCGUGAGGGAUGACGGCCUUCGGGUUGUAAACCUCUUUCAGUAGGGAAGAAGCGAAAGUGACGGUACCUGCAGAAGAAGCGCCGGCUAACUACGUGCCAGCAGCCGCGGUAAUACGUAGGGCGCAAGCGUUAUCCGGAAUUAUUGGGCGUAAAGAGCUCGUAGGCGGUUUGUCGCGUCUGCCGUGAAAGUCCGGGGCUCAACUCCGGAUCUGCGGUGGGUACGGGCAGACUAGAGUGAUGUAGGGGAGACUGGAAUUCCUGGUGUAGCGGUGAAAUGCGCAGAUAUCAGGAGGAACACCGAUGGCGAAGGCAGGUCUCUGGGCAUUAACUGACGCUGAGGAGCGAAAGCAUGGGGAGCGAACAGGAUUAGAUACCCUGGUAGUCCAUGCCGUAAACGUUGGGCACUAGGUGUGGGGGACAUUCCACGUUUUCCGCGCCGUAGCUAACGCAUUAAGUGCCCCGCCUGGGGAGUACGGCCGCAAGGCUAAAACUCAAAGGAAUUGACGGGGGCCCGCACAAGCGGCGGAGCAUGCGGAUUAAUUCGAUGCAACGCGAAGAACCUUACCAAGGCUUGACAUGAACCGGUAAUACCUGGAGACAGGUGCCCCGCUUGCGGUCGGUUUACAGGUGGUGCAUGGUUGUCGUCAGCUCGUGUCGUGAGAUGUUGGGUUAAGUCCCGCAACGAGCGCAACCCUCGUUCUAUGUUGCCAGCACGUGAUGGUGGGGACUCAUAGGAGACUGCCGGGGUCAACUCGGAGGAAGGUGGGGACGACGUCAAAUCAUCAUGCCCCUUAUGUCUUGGGCUUCACGCAUGCUACAAUGGCCGGUACAAAGGGUUGCGAUACUGUGAGGUGGAGCUAAUCCCAAAAAGCCGGUCUCAGUUCGGAUUGGGGUCUGCAACUCGACCCCAUGAAGUCGGAGUCGCUAGUAAUCGCAGAUCA